GUGAGGAUCUGGAUGUACGCGCUCGGGGCGGCGGCGGCGGCGGGGAAGCCGGGGCUGGCUAGCAGUGCCCUUUUGUCCAUGGAGGCUGCAGCGGCCGCAGCGACGACAGCCGCCCCCUCCCCACCCCCGGCGGUCACCAGUCGGAGUUUCCAAGUCUCUCCUCCUUCUCUCCUCCCAGCCCGGCGCUUCCGAGCCCCUUCUCUCUCUUUUCUUUUUAUUUUUCCGCACCGCACGGGCCCCGGGGGCCAAAAAUAAUCGGGGCCCUGGAGAGAGGAGGGUCCCGGCCGCACGGAUAUCGGGCCCCGAGGGGGGAUGGAGUCGUCGGGGGCGGCCGAUGCAAUGGAUUGCGAGGCGGCGGCGGCUGCCCGAGUGCUGCGGCCGGCAGCUGAAAAAUGGCUCCAGGAAGCUGCUGCUGACAAUGAAUGAAGGGAUACGGUUUACGCGCCAAGGUCCUCCCGCGAAACUCAGAUUUCCCGCCGGCUUUUCAAACCAUAUUUGCAUAUCCCCGCCCCUCAACCCGCCGAGGACCGUUCCCACAGCCCAUUGGGCCUCUGUCUCAUUCCUUCCGUCCCAAUCGUGGAGCAGGGCCGCGACUUGCUGGUUUCAAUUGGCUGCCGCGCAUCAUGGUUGUCGGGGCGACAGGGCCCCUAUUUGCAUACUCUUCCUUGAUUGGCUGGGAUGGAGUGUGGGUUUUAAGAGGUGGGGGGUAAAGUCUGCCUUCUCUCCCACGGAAGGCCACGCCUUGUACAGGCUCCUCCCCCGUCCCCGCCCUCCAGCCGGGCGGGCGCUGCUGACCUGGGCAGGGACUCCGCGCCCCGCAGACUCAGUGUGAAUUUAACCUAGAGCGCAAGUUUCGCUUUUGGAAAUUGUCAAGGUGACCAAGGGGACACUUUUCGGGGACUCGCUUUCGUUUGACCAGUAACCGUAAUAGGUGAACGACAGCGAGAGAUUCUCCCAAGUGUGUGCCAAAGGCAAGUUGGACCUUGCAAAUGACGCCUGGCAGGUGGAAACUGAGCCCUUUAAAUCGUGGGUUUCCCCCUUCCUGAAAUCCAACCAAUGCGGCAAGAGCUGAUCCCGAGGCCGAGGCUGACAGACAGAAGCAUGUGGGCAGGCAGAAUCGUGGGGGCAGAAGGUUCGACUGACGUGAUUGCGGGCACCAUUUAGUUACCAUUCCAGAUCAUUUCUGGUAGUUUCAUUAUCAGCCUGAUGGGAUUUAAGUUUAAAACUCCGAAUGUUUUGCCAAGUGAAAUCUUAUAGCGAAUUUUGAGUUCAGCAGACACCUCCAACCCCUCACCCUCUGGCCCAGAAGCACCCAGGGCAGUUAAUCUGGGCUAACCUAGGACUGAUCGGCGGGGUUCUAAUCCGCCAAACGGUAAUCCGAAGAAGUACAUGUUUCCCACAAUGACGUCUUGCUCCAAACAAACGCUGCACGCCUGGCACCAGCGCUUUACAAUUUUGGUUUCCUAGCAAGUUCUCUGACAGGACAACCCAAACUUACUCCAAAAUAUUUUCAAAGAAUUUUUUAAAGUAAACUAUUCAUUGCCACCAGAAAAAUAUUAAAUUAUUGUCAAACUGA